CAGCAGCCGCGGUAACACAGAGGGUGCGAGCGUUAAUCGGAUUUACUGGGCGUAAAGCGUGCGUAGGCGGCUUUUUAAGUCGGAUGUGAAAUCCCUGAGCUUAACUUAGGAAUUGCAUUCGAUACUGGGAAGCUAGAGUAUGGGAGAGGAUGGUAGAAUUCCAGGUGUAGCGGUGAAAUGCGUAGAGAUCUGGAGGAAUACCGAUGGCGAAGGCAGCCAUCUGGCCUAAUACUGACGCUAAGGUACGAAAGCAUGGGGAGCAAACAGGAUUAGAUACCCGUGUAGUCCCUGUCUCUUAUAC
rnacentral:rRNA from 1 species